rnacentral:lncRNA from 1 species
CACCACCACGGUUUGCUCCACCAAUGCUAGUGUGUCUGCCUCCCCUACUGCCACCGGCACUGCUGCCUCCACCACCACUGCUGCCGCCUGGAUGAGCAACUGCACAACCGAGGAGGAGGAAGCAAAUGACUGAAAGCCCAAGAACAAUUUUUUCUACAUGCUGCAUCUUUCGUUUCUUUUCAACAGUUCCAAGACUGGAAUUCCCCAAAAAGAGAGAAUGGAAAGUUGAAACUUAUAAUUAAUUAAACUUCCAAUGAUAUGUCCAUAUGGUCUAUUUAUAUGCAUUAUAAGUAGCACACGUAUGAGCAGAUCAACCGUCCAAAUUAAAAGGAAAUCAAGAUGGACAUCAAUAUCGUGAUUUCAUG